CCUACGGGAGGCAGCAGUGAGGAAUAUUGGGCAAUGGGCUGACGCCGGAACCAGCCAAGUCGCGUGAGGGAAGAAUGCCCUAUGGGUUGUAAACCUCGAUUGUCAGGGAGCAACGCCGGCUACGUGUAGCCGGACUGAGAGGACCUGAAGAAAAAGCAGCGGCUACCUCCGUGCCAGCAGCCGCGGUAAUACGGAGGAUGCGAGCGUUAUCCGGAUUUAUUGGGUUGAAAGGGUGCGUAGGAGGAAUGCCAAGUCAGCGGUAAAAUCGCGGGGCUCAACCUCGCUCCGCCGUUGCAACUGGCGUUCUUGAGUGGGCGAGAAGUAUGCGGCAUGCUUGGUGUAUCGGUGCAAUGCAUAGUUAUCACGCAGAACUCCGAUUGCGAAGGCAGCAUACCGGCGCCCAACUGACGCUGAAGCACGAAAGCGUGGGUAUCGAACAGGAUUAGCUACCCGGGUAGUC
rnacentral:rRNA from 1 species